rnacentral:rRNA from 1 species
CCUACGCGAGGCAGCAGUGAGGAAUAUUGGUCAAUGGACGAGAGUCUGAACCAGCCAAGUAGCGUGAAGGAUGACUGCCCUAUGGGUUGUAAACUUCUUUUAUAAAGGAAUAAAACGCGGCACGUGUGCCGUUUUGCAUGUACUUUAUGAAUAAGGAUCGGCUAACUCCGUGCCAGCAGCAGCGGUAAUACGGAGGAUCCGAGCGUUAACCGGAUUUAGUGGGUGUAAAGGGAGCGUAGAUGGGUUGGUAAGUCAGUUGUGAAAGUUUGCGGCUCAAACGUAAAAUUGAAAUUGAUACUGGCAGUCUUGAGUACAGUUGAGGUAGGCGGAAUUCGUGGUGUAGCGGUGAAAUGCUUAGAUAGCACGAAGAACCCCGAUUGCGAAGGCAGCUUACUAAACUGUGACUGACAUUGAUGCUCGAAAGUGUGGGUAUCAAACAGGAUUAGAGACCCUGGUAGUC